GAAUUCGCCCUUAGAGUUUGAUUCUGGCUCAGGACGAACGCUGGCGGCGCGCCUAACACAUGCAAGUCGAACGAGCGAGAGAGAGCUUGCUUUCUCAAGCGAGUGGCGAACGGGUGAGUAACGCGUGAGGAACCUGCCUCAAAGAGGGGGACAACAGUUGGAAACGACUGCUAAUACCGCAUAAGCCCACGACCCGGCAUCGGGUAGAGGGAAAAGGAGCAAUCCGCUUUGAGAUGGCCUCGCGUCCGAUUAGCUAGUUGGUGAGGUAACGGCCCACCAAGGCGACGAUCGGUAGCCGGACUGAGAGGUUGAACGGCCACAUUGGGACUGAGACACGGCCCAGACUCCUACGGGAGGCAGCAGUGGGGAAUAUUGCACAAUGGGGGAAACCCUGAUGUAGCGACGCCGCGUGGAGGAAGAAGGUCUUCGGAUUGUAAACUCCUGUUGUUGAGGAAGAUAAUGACGGUACUCAACAAGGAAGUGACGGCUAACUACGUGCCAGCAGCCGCGGUAAAACGUAGGUCACAAGCGUUGUCCGGAAUUACUGGGUGUAAAGGGAGCGCAGGCGGGAAGACAAGUUGGAAGUGAAAUCCAUGGGCUCAACCCAUGAACUGCUUUCAAAACUGUUUUUCUUGAGUAGUGCAGAGGUAGGCGGAAUUCCCGGUGUAGCGGUGGAAUGCGUAGAUAUCGGGAGGAACACCAGCGGCGAAGGCGACCUACUGGGCACCAACUGACGCUGAGGCUCGAAAGCAUGGGUAGCAAACAGGAUUAGAUACCCUGGUAGUCCAUGCCGUAAACGAUGAUUACUAGGUGUUGGAGGAUUGACCCCUUCAGUGCCGCAGUUAACACAAUAAGUAAUCCACCUGGGGAGUACGACCGCAAGGUUGAAACUCAAAGGAAUUGACGGGGGCCCGCACAAGCAGUGGAGUAUGUGGUUUAAUUCGAAGCAACGCGAAGAACCUUACCAGGUCUUGACAUCCGAUGCAUAGUGCAGAGAUGCAUGAAGUCCUUCGGGACAUCGAGACAGGUGGUGCAUGGUUGUCGUCAGCUCGUGUCGUGAGAUGUUGGGUUAAGUCCCGCAACGAGCGCAACCCUUAUUGCCAGUUACUACGAAAGAGGACUCUGGCGAGACUGCCGUUGACAAAACGGAGGAAGGUGGGGAUGACGUCAAAUCAUCAUGCCCUUUAUGACCUGGGCUACACACGUACUACAAUGGCGUUUAACAAAGAGAAGCAAGACCGCGAGGUGGAGCAAAACUCAAAAACAACGUCUCAGUUCAGAUUGCAGGCUGCAACUCGCCUGCAUGAAGUCGGAAUUGCUAGUAAUCGCGGAUCAGCAUGCCGCGGUGAAUACGUUCCCGGGCCUUGCACACACCGCCCGUCA
rnacentral:rRNA from 1 species